AACAUAGGAAGCUGCCGUCUACUGAGUCAGAUACUGGUCCACUUAGCUCAAUAUUGUGUACUCGGACUGGCAGUGGCUUCUCCAUGGCUGCAGGCAGGAGUCUCUAGACGGAGGCCUAGAAACAGCCACCGGAGAAGCCACGGAUGCCCCCAAGGACCAGCCAGGCUUCGCACUCGCUUCCAGCUCUGCUUUGGCUACUUGGCUGGCCCUGCCUCGCCCUUGACUACUUGACACAGCCGCGCGCUCCCCGUCAGUGGCUAUGGUGAACUUUUACCAUGAAUCGGUGUCCGCCUGACUCAGGAUGAGAAAGCUUCCUAUGUUCCUAAGGAGUGGGAUGAAGGGGUCAGGCGGCAAUCUUGUUUAGCUUUUGAUUCCUCUUAACUGAAAGUACUAAUCUACUUUUGCCAGGUUUUUUUUUUUUUAUGCUGUGAGUCAACCUUUUAAACCUGUCGAGGCAGGCUUAAGCUUCCUACGUUCCUAAGGAGGGGAAUGAAGAGAUCAGGCGGCAAUCCUGGUUUAGCUUUUUAUUCCUCUUAAUAGAAAGUACUAAUCUACUUUUGCCAGUUUUCUUGCCCACCAACCUGCAGAGCUUUUUCAGGGAACACCUCCAGGAUGGACGAUUUGAAGCCAGUUGGCCACCCUGACGAAAAAGAUGUCGGAGACCGGAAAUCAAGCAGAGAAAAGCUGAUGGAAUCAAUGAGGUUCUCCUUAAUUUGUCCUCGCAACCAGCUGCCCCUGGUGGAUUUCUACCUGGUGCUUUUUCUCCCGCAGAAAUGCUGAAGCGUAUGGGGCAAAGCGAGACUCUGGGAGGAUGCUCCGGACAUAGUCCUUCGUGAGGAAGCCUCGGCGAAAAACACUGAAUAUCCGGACAGUUUUUAAGGACUUGCCAGUGAAAGAAUUAUUACUACAAGCUCCAGAUAACAGAACGGAUUAUUAUUACAACACAUCUCUUUAUGUCAAGGACUUACAAACGAAAGAAUUAUUAUCUUCACAAGUCUCAGAUAGCAGAACAGACAAUCAUUACAGCCUAUUUCUCUUCGCCAACUACUUUGGGAAAUAGUGAAAUUGUUUUGGUGUUCUGUUGUUACAUCACAGUCCUUCAUACUGAUUUUGCAAGACUGGUAUUUUUACCAUCUUCAUUAUUCUGUGCUCUGGGCAAUUUUGGACAUUUUCUAGUGUUUAUUUAAAGAGUUUAAAUAAUUAUUUAAGGAAUCCAAGACACAUAUUUAAAAAUAUAAUUAUUUAAUUUUUGAA